rnacentral:SRP_RNA from 1 species
GCCGGGCGUGGUGGCGGGCGCCUGUAGUCCCAGCUACUCGGGAGGCUGAGGCAGAAAAAUGGUGUGAACCCAGGAGGCGGAGCUUGCAGUGAGCCGAGAUCGCGCCACUGCACUCCAGCCUGGGUGACAGAGCGAGACUCCGUCUCAAAAAAAAAAAAAAAAGACAGAGUUUCACUCUGUUGCCCAGCCUGGAGUGCAGUGGCACGAUCUCGGCUCACUGCAACCUCCACCUCCCGGGUUCAAGUGAUUCUCGUGCCUCAG